GACAGAGGGUGCAAACGUUGUUCGGAAUUACUGGGCGUAAAGCGCGUGUAGGCUGCUUCGCAAGUCGGGUGUGAAAGCCCUGGGCUCAACCUAGGAAGUGCACUCGAAACUGCGAGCUUGAGUCCUGGAGAGGAAGGCGGAAUUCUCGGUGUAGAGGUGAAAUUCGUAGAUAUCGAGAGGAACACCGGUGGCGAAGGCGGCCUUCUGGACAGUGACUGACGCUGAGACGCGAAAGCGUGGGGGGCAAACAGG
rnacentral:rRNA from 1 species